rnacentral:rRNA from 1 species
UGGGGAAUAUUGGACAAUGGGCGAAAGCCUGAUCCAGCCAUGCCGCGUGUGUGAAGAAGGCCUUUUGGUUGUAAAGCACUUUAAGUGGGGAGGAAAAGCUUAUGGUUAAUACCCAUAAGCCCUGACGUUACCCACAGAAUAAGCACCGGCUAACUCUGUGCCAGCAGCCGCGGUAAUACAGAGGGUGCAAGCGUUAAUCGGAAUUACUGGGCGUAAAGCGCGCGUAGGUGGUUAUUUAAGUCAGAUGUGAAAGCCCCGGGCUUAACCUGGGAACUGCAUCUGAUACUGGAUAACUAGAGUAGGUGAGAGGGGAGUAGAAUUCCAGGUGUAGCGGUGAAAUGCGUAGAGAUCUGGAGGAAUACCGAUGGCGAAGGCAGCUCCCUGGCAUCAUACUGACACUGAGGUGCGAAAGCGUGGGUAGCAAACAGGAUUAGAUACCCUGGUAGUCCACGCCGUAAACGAUGUCUACCAGUCGUUGGGUCUUCUAAAGACUUAGUGACGCAGUUAACGCAAUAAGUAGACCGCCUGGGGAGUACGGCCGCAAGGUUA